CGGAGAUGCUGUCGGGGCUGCGCCGCCGCCUCCCCCCCCCCGGAGGCGACCCACGGCGGCAGAUCCGACGUCGGGCUCUGCAGGAGAUCGUCGCCGGGGUGACGAAGCUUAUGGAAAAAAAGACCAAAGGCCUCGAGGGAUGUUCUUCUUGACCCCCCGGGGCAAACGGAGGUGUUCCCCUGGUCAGCGUCAGGAGCCAUCCUAACUGAGGCCUCGGCUCCCUCUUUUCCUUCGGUCGCCGUGGGUAUGCUGGACG